CCGGAGGCUUAACGACCGUACCAUAACCGAUGCCUACCCCAUGCCUAGAAUAGAUGAGCUCUUAGAUCGUAUGGCGGGGGGGAACUACUCGACUACCCUGGACCUGUGCAAGGGUUAUUGGCAGAUCCCCCUGGAGCCUGCGGCCAUCCCCAAGUCGGCGUUCGUCCCCCCGUUUGGGCUAUACCAAUUCAAGGUUAUGCCCUUUGGGAUGAAGAACGCCCCGGCUACGUUUCAGCGGAUGGCGGAUAGGCUCCUGGAGGGAUUGCAGGACUUCGCAUGUGCGUAUCUAGAUGAUAUUGCCAUCUAUAGCCGCACAUGGGGAGACCAUCUGGGUCAUGUGUCCAGGGUGCUCGAACGAAUCCACCUCGCCGGGCUCACUUUAAAACCCGACAAAUGUCACGUAGGCCUAGCCGAGGUCCAGUAUCUAGG